AGGCGUAGGAUUGGCCAGUCCUACGACUUAUAUUCUGCUUACCGCCGGGCAUAGUAAGACCCCGCGAGGUGCAGUAUGGCUUUCGCGGAUGUAGAAUUCCCGCGAGGUGCCGUUUAGUAUAUAGAUGUGAGAUGGAUUUCUGUUCUGGAUACUGGCUUGCAUUUAUAUUACCAGUAUGGUGUCUUAUUCUGCAUAUGCAUGUGAUACUGGGGAGUUGUUGCUGGUUCGCCUGGGGCGUAAAACCCACCUUCCGAUAGCUAUCUAGCAUUUAUAUUAUUGGUAUGGUGUCUUAUCCUGCAUAUGCAUGUGACAGUAGGGAGUUGUUGCUGGUUCGUCUGGGGCGUAAAACCCACCUCCCAAUAGCUGUCUUGUUGAUGAUUCAGCAUAUUGACACCUGAUUUGUAUAUUCCAGCAUUAUGAUCUGUUGAAUAUAUUCAUGAGUAGUAUAUAUGUUUACUCGAUUAUUCCAUAUAUGCUUCAGAUGA
rnacentral:lncRNA from 1 species